AUUCAGCUGACGAGUCACAAAUAGGACGAAACACACGUCCUGCAU
rnacentral:hammerhead_ribozyme from 1 species